GAUGAAGAACGUAGCGAAAUGCGAUAAGUAAUGUGAAUUGCAGAAUUCAGUGAAUCAUCGAAUCUUUGAACGCACAUUGCGCCCAUUAGUAUUCUAGUGGGCAUGCCUGUUCGAGCGUCAUUAAGUCCACUUAAGCCCUGCUUAGUGUUGGGAGACUGCUCCAGCGGUGCUACCCUGUAGCUACCCUGCAGCUCCUCAAAGACAGCGGCGGAGUUGUGGUAUCCUCUGAGCUUAGUAACUUGUUCUAGCUUUCGAGUACACCACUUCCCCUGCCGUAAAACCCUUAAUUUUUGAUGGUUGACCUCGGAUCAGGUAGGAAUACCCGCUGAACUUAAGCAUAUCAAUAAGCGGAGGA
rnacentral:misc_RNA from 1 species